CAUCACAAUUAUCUGCUGUUUGUAUUGGACUUGCUCGAUCACCAACCCUGGCAUGUACCAAGCUCUCAUCUUCUAGAGUACCUUGGGUAACUAAUCAUCACUGAUCAGUGGUUUCAUGUAGGCAAUUUUGUUGUAAUACUGACAACUAUUUAAUGAGAACAACAACAACUAUUGACCGGAAGACGUCCAUCCAGGAGUCCAUCCGGUUUUGGCAAUUGGAACGACGGACUGGCAAAGACCCACCCCGAGAUGAUCGUUGCCUUGAGCACUCCGCCCAACACCAACUUUAUCCCUGCCAUUGGGCGUCUUAUUCCUCACGUCGGAGCGGCUCCGUUCCUCACGCCGUCUGCCCCCACGUCAUCUUCUCUCUGCAGCCCAUCGCUGCAGUUAACCGCAACAAAUUCCUUUCUGCUGUUCUCCGCCUGAUCCUCAAUGCCACUGAGACCACCGAGAUCCGUAUCGCCGCCGUCUCCACCAUGUUCCACGAGUUGAAAUAAACAUAGUUUUGAUUGUUUGCUGACCUAGAAACUCAUUUUGACGCGACAAAAGAUAGCUGCUGAAUAGAAGCUACAUCAAGAUUCAAGCUACACGCAAGCCCUUCCAAUUGAUCAAUCACGUUUGGAUUUUAAGUUUAAUUUAUUUAGCACAUUUUUAAAUUUCGUUAAAUAAUUUUUAUUUUUUAAAUUAAGACGAUUAAGACUUAAAGAAAAUAGUAUAAAAUUUGAGAUAAA